rnacentral:rRNA from 1 species
GGCGUAAGCGCGCGCAGGCGGUUCUUUAAGUCUGAUGUGAAAGCCCCCGCCUUUACCGGGGAGGGUCAUUGAAAACUGAUGAACUUGAUUGCCCUUAAGAGAAGUGGAAUUCCCCGUGUAGCGGUGAAAUGCGUAAAAAUGGGAAGGAACACCAUGGGCAAAGGCAACCCCUUGGACUGUAACUGACCCUGAGGCGCGAAAGCGUGGGGAGCAAACAGGAUUAAAUACCCGGGUAUUCCACGCCGUAAACAAUG